CAGCCGCCGCGGUAAUACGUAGGGGGCGAGCGUUACCCGGAUUCACUGGGCGUAAAGCGGGUGUAGGCGGCUCGGUAAGUCGGGUGUGAAAUCCCACAGCUCAACUGUGGAAUUGCGCCCGAAACUGCUGAGCUUGGGGCCGGUAGAGGGAGACGGAACUGCCGGUGUAGGGGUGAAAUCCGUAGAUAUCGGCAGGAACGCCGGUGGGGAAGCCGGCCUCCUGGGCCGCGCCCGACGCUGAGGCCCGAAAGCUAGGGGAGCAAACCGGAUUAGAUACCCGGGUAGUCCUAGCCGUAAACGAUGCCCACUAGGUGUGGGGGAGUAUUUCCUCCGUGCUGUAGCUAACGCGUUAAGUGGGCCGCCUGGGGAGUACGCCCGCAAGGGUGAAACUUAAAGGAAUUGGCGGG
rnacentral:rRNA from 1 species